CCGCAUUUCCUUUUUGACUUUAGAGAGAGAGAGAGAGAAGCGGAGGCUGGGGGCUGGUGGACGCAUCGAGCUGUAGAUGCCUGGUCCCGAUUGCGAACUUGGCAGAGGUUUUUUGGCGUGGAUGAAGGCGGUGGCCGCUAAGCAGGACCACCUGCCGGCCCCGUUACCCGGAACGGGAGGAGAAGAUGGGCAUCUCCAGCCGAAUUCCACCGCCGAGGAUGGAAGUGUUUAAAGGAAGACCUGCCCCGCUCGGGGUAGCGGAGAUCUGAACCUUUAAAUUGCAGCCAUUCCCGGCCUGACGAUAAGUAAAUAAACAAUUCACAGCUG